UAAUAACAGUGUCAAACGUAACGGUCAUUGUCAACAAAAGGUGACAUACCUUGUCAUCUUCUUCGAUUGUAGUUCCAGUCGAUUCAAGCUCUCGGAUUAAAGAAUCGAAUUCAACGAAAAA
rnacentral:lncRNA from 1 species